rnacentral:rRNA from 1 species
CGCCUCUUGCUAACAAAGGAAGUACUAGAGGUCCCGCCUGCCCUGUGACCACAAAGUUUAACGGCCGCGGUAUCCUGACCGUGCGAAGGUAGCGUAAUCAUUUGUCUUUUAAAUAGAGACCUGUAUGAAUGGCAUAACGAGGGUUUAACUGUCUCCUUCCCCCAGUCAAUGAAAUUGAUCUGCCCGUGCAGAAGCGGACAUAAAUACAUAAGACGAGAAGACCCUAUGGAGCUUUAGACAAAAGAUCAAACAUGUAAAGAAACCAAAACAACCAAAAGGAACACGAAGGCCACAAAACCCAACGUAAACUGAUCUAAAUGUCUUCGGUUGGGGCGACCAUGGGGGAAAGAAAAGCCCCCACGAGGAACAGGGACAACCCCUAA